GUUCACGUUUCCAGCAGGUUAAAGAGGUUUGAUAAUGAAAGCAACCCUUGGAACAUACUACAGCCUCUAGGUGGUGAAGAGCUGACAUCGAGGUGCCAAACCUUCGCGUCGAUGUGAGCUCUUGAGGAAGAUAUUUGCAAGAUGGAAGACCUUUUGUUAUGGUUUUCAACCCAUUAGGAGUACCUUCACGAAUGAAUGUAGGGAUAGGUUCAUUCCCAUAAUAUUUUGAAUGAAGGUAAAAAAAAAAUGGUCUCACAUGGAUCUUUACAAAUUGGGUCUAUGAGAAAAUAGUUUUGUACUGUUGUAGUAGGCGAUUGGCUAUUCUCAAAUGGGUCUAUUAAAAUUUUUGUUUAUUUGGUCACAAGCCUUGAGUUGGUGCUGCGAGGUGUAUGCCUCCAAAUCCGUCCUCACAAUUUGUAUUUAUCCAAAGCUCGUGGUCAGAGCUUGAAGAUUUCCUAUUUAUGAGUUACUUCAAUGUGUCUAUAGUGUCUUAUUGACUCAUUUUCCCGGUGUUCAAUCUUGAAACCUA
rnacentral:lncRNA from 1 species